rnacentral:lncRNA from 1 species
GGGUGCUGGAAGGAAUGGGUGCUCCCCUCAAAGAGACCCCAGACCCGUUGCCAAGGCAGAAGUUCGGUAUGACAGCUGUUAGUUUCUGAUUACCUACUACGUGCCAAGCACUGUGUUUUCUCACUUCACUUAAUCCUCCCAAAUUAAGCCAGGUUGGGGAUAUUAAUAGCUCACUUUACAGGUGUGGAAAUUGAAGCUCAAAGGCCCUAUGAAUUAGAAAUUCAGGCCUCACCUUGCCCACACCCCAAACACCUGUGCUCCUUCAACUUUGUGUUGUGAAAGUGUGGGGCCCUGUCACAAUUUCCUGGCCCCGGCCCCCAAACCUAACCAAUGUGGCAGAAUGGAAUCUGUAGAAUUAGGUAGGACAAGGCCCGACCCUUAGGACGAGGGGUGGGCAGGAUUUUUCUGCAGAAGGGCCAGAGAACAAAAAUAUUUCUGUCUCCAUUACUCAGCUCUGCCACUGGAGUGAGAGAGUACCCAUAGAUAUGGAAACGAUUGGGUGGGGCAUAAAUAGAUUUUAUUUACAGACACGUAAAGUUGACCCUUGUGUAAUUUUAAUGUGCUGAAGAAUAUAGUCCUUUUGAUUUUUUAAAACAUCAUCUAAAGCAUGAAAACCAAUCUCAGUUCCUGGCUGUACGAAAACAGGCAGUGGGGAUUUGGGCUGUGGAUCAUACAGGGUUUCCAGAGCCCCCUGCUCUGAGCCACCAGGUCGCCCCUGCCAGAGGGUCAUUGACGCUCAGGACCACCACACCCCUUUCCAGCAGGGCAAUGCGGUUUCCAGAACGGUUUCUUCUGUUUCAGAAGAUCAUGGACACAGCAAGGUCCCUAUCCUCGUUACUUGGAAUCAUGAGAGGCCAUUUGGGAACCUCAAGAAAAGAGGGAGGGCCUGACCCCUGCCUGAACGUGGUCUUGUGCUUCCCUAAGUUAACAUCGGGUGUGCGCGUCUGCAACGGGAGCAUUGCACGAUUUGUGAGAGACUGUGGAUGAGAGAAUGGCCAUACAGGUACCUGUUUCAAAACUGGAAAUAGUCCACUGGAUGCCUUCGCUGCCAGGCACCCUGAGGGAGAGGAAGAGAAUCAACUCAGAGACCAUGGCUGCGGCACAUAGCCAGAGUACGGGGCGCGGGGGUGAGGGGGAGGUGGGGAGCCAGUCCUGGGUGGAGACCCAGCCCUUGUGAGGCUGUCUCCUCCUCUGGCAACCCCUCUGAACAGUGAGGGUGCAGCCUUGCAUACAAGGGUCCUUCCGGGGAGCAUCCCGCUUGAGGUCCUUGGCAGCACUCUGCAGCUCCCCAACGUGUGGGUUUUGCAAAGGGCCUUGCAGUUUCGGUCUGCUCUUUGGGGGUCGUGGUUGUCCUCUAGAUGGGCCACGGCCCCUGCCAUGGUGGAAACAGCCUCGGGGGCCCCAUGGUUCUGAGAGAGACCUUCUGCCUGGAGAGGCUAUUUCUUGAGCUGUCUCUGGCGCCAUGGAGGCCUUGGUGGUUGACGCUGCCCCGGUGUUGACAGAUUGCCCGAGUGGAUGAACUCAGCUCAUUGCAGGCUGUGCUCUGGAGACAGAACCAUUUAGGAGGUUGCUUGCCUUCCAGCUGUUUUUAGGGGUCCUGGUGGAUUUGUGGGAUCAUCACUCUAUAAGCUGCUGUCAUGGAAAUGGCAUUUCGGCCAUAGAUUCGGUAUGUGGAGGUGAUGGCCUUUAACCCUCUAAGGGUCAGCGAGAAUCAGGGCUGCGAAGAGGAGGUGAGCAUGUCUUGCCUCUCCUGCUGCGGUUUUUGCCAUGUCACCUUUUCAGAUGGUGCAAGAUGACCUGCAUUGGUGUCAGGCUUCAGACAGACAAAAUGGAACCAAACGGGAUCAUUUUCAGGGGAGUGUGAACCCGAAGGGAGGUUUCCACACUGGGGAGGUGGCCAGUGUAAUCGAAGGUGGCCUUCGCUGGCCAUGCCAGGGGCCAGGCGGAGAAUCAGUUGAGUUCAGAAACCGCUUAAUAACUUGGAGCUCCAGCACACUCCCACGGACAGUAUCUUGUGGCUUUCUUAGAGUAUAGAGCACUGCCCGGAGGAGUGGCUCAGCCCCAGCUUGGGGCGGAGUCUGGCUCUGCUGAUGCCAACUGACCUUGUCUCAGUUUACCGAGCUGUAGGGGGGCGGCUGUCUAUAGCACCCGCCUCACAGAGGUGCUCUGGUCAACAGGCUGGUGCAUGAUCUUGCACAUGCAUGACCCCAGGCACAUGCCGGCUGCUCCCUCAGUUGUCGGUGUUGUGAGCUGUCAUCAUCCUUUGAAAUAGAUCUCUGAGCAUGGGGCUCAGCCCUCUGCAAACAGCAGCUCAUUUAAUCCUUAGAGCCACCCUCUAGAGUAGGUAAUACAAUUUUUCUUUUACAGAGGCAGAAACUAGGCUAAGAUGGUUUGUUUGUGGGUGGAGGGAUGGAAGGGGUGUUUCUCCUUCAACAAUAAUAUCUGCUAAUGUAGAAGAUGAAUCAAAUCAGCCCAGAUCCCACCAUCCACGAGGUGCACACUGGUUGGUGACUAGUCAGUGAACAUUUUCCUUAUCCAAGGAAGUUGAAGGGUGUGGUGUGGGGCUCUGGGCUGCCAGGCUCUCAGCUCCAGACCUCCCUCCUCUGUCCGGGCAGCUUCACUUCUGGGGUGUGGGCCACCCUCCCUGGGGCACCGGGCAUCCCAGGGUUCCGCUGCGCUGUCUUGCCAUGAGUCCAUGAGUCUGGUGGGCAGGGUACCAAGGUGCUGGCUCUUCUGGAAGUCUUUUAGAGAAGCGCCAAAGAGGAAAGAAGGAAUAGAACACUGCGAGUCCAUUAAAAUAAAAUGUUUCCCAGAAUGAUACAAGACUCUCCAUCUUCAAGGCCAUCCAUGUAGCCACAGACUAAUUAAUGGUCACUGGAGAUGUUGCGCUAGAAGCCUUUCUUGUGAAAAUGUUUUAUAAUGUAUCUAUAAAUCCAGAGAUUGAAGAGCAACCAGCCAAUGUGGGCUCCCCCACACCACUAACUGUUUUUACUUUGUUAUAUCUUAAGCUUCUUUUCUCUCUGAAUCUGAGAUAUGAGUAAUUCAUAACACAAUUGGACUUUAUGGUUUGUUUAUGCUGAUUCCGAUCACAGAAUAAAUGACUACCUAGAGUUAAAAAAAAAAAACUAAUGAAAAAACAGGCAUCAAUCAAGAACAUUUAUGAAUAAAGACCUUAAACAUCCAUACUUAGAAAUAUAUAUGAUAUUUAGAAAUAGAUCUGAAAAGACUUAUGUAAUGUGUUUUAAUCAAAUCCUGAAGAGAAAUUGGCCAAUAAAUCAAAUCUCGAAAAGAAAUUGACCAAUAAAUCAAAUUUAGAAAGAAAGUGACAGAUAAAUCAAGUCUAAAAAAGAAAACAACCACUAUAUCAAAUCCAUGAUAUGUUUAUUAAAAGCAACGGAUCUCAGCGUUUUGUGACUCGGUGUCUUUCCUGAGCCCAUGUAUUAAGAAUGUAUUUAGGAAACAAGAUGCUUAUACUUUUUACACUAUUGUAAAUGUGUGAGUGUGCAUAUACCACACACAAAUACAAUUUGCAAACCAAAAUAGAGAGGGGGUCUGGACUGGGAUAGAGGAGGAAGGAGAGAAAGAAUCUAUUAUAGACAAAUGCCUACUACCAGCCUCGCUUCCAUGUGGUUUCCAGGAUUUAUGCUAUAUGGUACCUUAUCUUAUAAAGCAUCCACAUAACGCGGCCUUUAGCACAUCAGCAGCCAAGCUCCUUGGGAUCUAAAGCAGCUCUGAUGAAUCUUAAAUACUUCUUCACAGUGAAUUGAGUUAUAUCAAUUCCAUAAGGAGCUAUAUUUUGCAUGUGUGCAGCAGUAUAUAGGACAUGGUGUCUCAUUUGCUUUAAAAUUAAUUUAAUUUUAGGAAUUUUCCACAAAGGUAUUAAGGUAUUUCUAAAUAUAUUUUCAAGAUCAAAUUGUGCCGUGUGUGUGUGUGUGUGUGUGUGUGUGUGUGUGUAUGCUUCUGAGUCUCCAGGUGUCUAUCUUCCCUAUCUUGUUGCCUUCACCCAUAGUACUGUGUACCUUAUUUCAGAAAGGAAGUUUCCAAAGAAAAA